rnacentral:rRNA from 1 species
UACGGGGGGAGCAAGCGUUGUUCGGAUUUACUGGGCGUAAAGGGCGCGUAGGCGGCCACCGCAAGUCGACUGUGAAAUCUCCGGGCUUAACCCGGAAAGGUCAGCCGAUACUGCGCGGCUAGAGUGCAGAAGGGGCAACUGGAAUUCUUGGUGUAGCGGUGAAAUGCGUAGAUAUCAAGAGGAACACCUGCGGCGAAGGCGGGUUGCUGGGCUGACACGUGACGCUGAGGCGCGAAAGCGUGGGGAGCAAACGGG